UGGCCCACUAGGCACAACCGAUAUCUAACCGGGAACCCCGUGAAGGGCCCCCGCCCGAUUCGGUCGAUUGUAGCCAGGGCGGCGAUCAUCAAAGCAUGCCGCCCGGUACCGUACCCAUUUAUAGUUUGAGAAUAGGUUAAGAUCAUUUCGAAACCUAAGGCCUCUAAUCAUUCGCUUUACCAACCAGAUAAGAAUAAGGCUCGAAACGCUACGUGCUCCAGCUAUCCUGAGGGAAACUUCGGAGGGAACCAGCUACUAGAUGGUUCGAUUGGUCUUUCGCCCCUAUGCCCAACUCUGACAAUCGAUUUGCACGUCAGAAUUGCUUCGGCCCUCCAUCAGGGGUUUCCCCUGACUUCGGCCUGAUCAGGCAUAG